GUGACGGGUACACUGUGGGGACCCGCCGCUGCUAAAGCGGAGGAAGGAAUGGGCAACGGUAGGUCAGUAUGCCCCGAAUAUCCCGGGCUACACGCGAGCUACAAUGGUUGGUACAAGUGGGUAUCUACCCCGAAGGGACGGGAAUCUCCUAAAACCAAUCUUAGUUCGGAUUGAGGGCUGCAACUCGCCCUCAUGAAGCUGGAAUCCGUAGUAAUCGCGUUUCAACAGAACGCGGUGAAUACGUCCCUGCUCCUU
rnacentral:rRNA from 1 species